CUACGGGCGGCAGCAGUGGGGAAUAUUGCACAAUGGAGGAAACUCUGAUGCAGCAACGCCGCGUGGAGGAUGACACUUUUCGGAGCGUAAACUCCUUUUAUAUAGGAAGAAGAUGACGGUACUAUAUGAAUAAGCGCCGGCUAACUCCGUGCCAGCAGCCGCGGUAAUACGGAGGGCGCAAGCGUUACUCGGAAUCACUGGGCGUAAAGAGCGUGUAGGCGGAUUAAAAAGUCAGAAGUGAAAUCCUAUAGCUUAACUAUAGAACUGCUUCUGAAACUCUUAAGCUAGAAUAUGGGAGAGGUAGAUGGAAUUUCUGGUGUAGGGGUAAGAUCCGUAGAGAUCAGAAGGAAUACCGAUUGCGAAGGCGAUCUACUAGAACAUUAUUGACGCUGAGACGCGAAAGCGUGGGGAGCAAACAGGAUUAGAUACCCUUGUAGUC
rnacentral:rRNA from 1 species